GUAAGUACAAACGUCUAUGUACCUACGCAAAUCUCCACAAACAUGGCAGCCAGUGCAAACGUCUCUGCACCCCGCAAAACUCCUCAAACAUAGGCAGCCAGUACAGACGUCUCUGCACCCCGCAAAUCUCCACACUUGGACUCGCAUAUAUAUACAUAUAUAUAACAAUUCUUAACAUCAAUCAUUUCAAUCAACAGUUGAAUCCUCUAUUAUCCUAUUUUCGGUUUAUCAAUCAAUAAUAAUAAUAAACAAGCAAGACUCUCAAACAGACUCGAUUCACAGAGACGGAUCAUGUUUCGAAACUAAACUUUUCAUAACGGUAGUACGACUCUCAAACAGACUCGAUUCACAGAGACGGAUCAUGUUUCGAAACUAAACUUUUCAUAACGGUAGUACUAAACUAGUUCGGGAUUUAAACGGAAAAGCCCUCACCUUAGCAACAAGAAGAAGUGGUAUCUAUGAACUCCAGAUGCUCAAAUAGACUCCAAAUCUGAAAUCAGGG
rnacentral:lncRNA from 1 species